ACACACUCCAUAAAUGGUAGAUACAAUUAUUAAUAUUAUUUGCAUUCAUCUUCUUUGUGCAGACUACACUGUGUUGAUCCUCUUAAGUGUAACAUUCAGCAGCCUGCCCAGCUUUAAUUUCACUCACACUAGAUCCUCUAGAAAGCAAGUUUGUGCCAUUGCUGCAGGGACCCUGGUAGAUUACAGUAGAUGGCAGUUGACAUAGUGUAAAUAGUAAGAAGAAGCAAUAACUUCCACAGUUCAGAAGCCUGACUACAUGUUGGUCUUUCAGUGCCUCACAUCCAAGGGGAGAGAGCUAACACGCAUCUCACUGGUUGCUGAAGGAGGCUGCUGUGUUAUGGAUGAACUGGUCAAACCUGAAAACAAGAUUCUGGACUACCUCACCAGCUUUUCGGGAAUCACGAAGAAGAUUCUUAACCCAGUGACGACCAAACUCAAAGAUGUACAGAGGCAGUUAAAAGCACUGCUUCCUCCUGAUGCUGUGUUAGUGGGCCACUCCUUAGAUUUGGAUCUCAG
rnacentral:sRNA from 1 species